rnacentral:lncRNA from 1 species
CUCAAACCCUUUCUCACCUUUUAUUUUGCCCGAUCCUCAUGACAGUGUAUGGGAAAAUCACCAGGAGCUAUUAUACUCAUUUUCAAGAAGGAGAAGCUGAGACCAAGAAGCAAAGGCAGCAUCCUGGGAAUCAUAUUUUUACACUCCGGCUUCCGCUAAUUUAUGCUGCAGACCGAGCCCUCCCGGGCUGAAGAUCACGUUUGAAAGAGCUGGGAGUCAGUUUCUGGCUUCGGCAUUUUGGAGCCUAUUGGAAGCCACACAGGGAUAUGUGAACAAUGAAAAUAAUAAUGGCCAGGGCAGUGUUUCUUCCCCUCCUCUCCUGGGCCCGCCGAGCUCCCUCCAUACAUUCAGGGAAAAGAAGCUUCGUUGAGAAAAUUAAAUGGGUCCUCACUUAAGACCUAGCAAUCAGCCCCA